UGUCAUAAGCUCUGGCUGGGGUUGC
rnacentral:piRNA from 1 species